GCAGAGAUGCGAAUGUGCCUUCGGGAACUGUGAGACAGGUGCUGCAUGGCUGUCGUCAGCUCGUGUUGUGAAAUGUUGGGUUAAGUCCCGCAACGAGCGCAACCCUUAUCCUUUGUUGCCAGCGGUUAGGCCGGGAACUCAAAGGAGACUGCCAGUGAUAAACUGGAGGAAGGUGGGGAUGACGUCAAGUCAUCAUGGCCCUUACGACCAGGGCUACACACGUGCUACAAUGGCGCAUACAAAGAGAAGCGACCUCGCGAGAGCAAGCGGACCUCAUAAAGUGCGUCGUAGUCCGGAUUGGAGUCUGCAACUCGACUCCAUGAAGUCGGAAUCGCUAGUAAUCGUGGAUCAGAAUGCCACGGUGAAUACGUUCCCGGGCCUUGUACACACCGCCCGUCACACCAUGGGAGUGGGUUGCAAAAGAAGUAGGUAGCUUAACCUUCGGGAGGGCGCUUACCACUUUGUGAUUCAUGACUGGGGUGAAGUCGUAACAAGGUAACCGUAGGGGAACCUGCGGUUGGA
rnacentral:rRNA from 1 species